rnacentral:rRNA from 1 species
CACUUAGGGACCAAGCGUUGUCCGGCUUCAUUGGGCGUAAAGAGCUCGUAGGCGGCUCAGUAAGUCGGGUGUGAAACCUCCAGGCUCAACCUGGAGACGCCACCCGAUACUGCUGUGGCUAGAGUCCAGUAGGGGAGCGUGGAAUUCCUGGUGUAGCGGUGAAAUGCGCAGAUAUCAGGAGGAACACCAGCGGCGAAGGCGGCGCUCUGGGCUGGCACUGACGCUGAGGAGCGAAAGCGUGGGGAGCGAACAGG